rnacentral:rRNA from 1 species
GAUGAACGCUAGCGGGAGGCCUAACACAUGCAAGCCGAGCGGUAGAGUCUCUUCGGAGACUUGAGAGCGGCGCACGGGUGCGGAACACGUGUGCAACCUGCCUUUAUCUGGGGGAUAGCCUUUCGAAAGGAAGAUUAAUACCCCAUAAUAUACUGGAUGGCAUCAUCUGGUAUUGAAAACUCCGGUGGAUAGAGAUGGGCACGCGCAAGAUUAGAUAGUUGGUGAGGUAACGGCUCACCAAGUCAGCGAUCUUUAGGGGGCCUGAGAGUGUGAUCCCCCACACUGGUACUGAGACACGGACCAGAAUCGUACGGGAGGCAGCGGUGAGGAAUAUUGGACAAGGAGUGAGAGCCUGAUCCAGCCAUCCCGCGUGAAGGACGACGGCCCUAGGGGUUGUAAACUUCUUUUGAAGAGGGAUAAACCUAGAUACGUGUAUCUAGCUGAAGGUACUAUACGAAUAAGCACCGGCUAACUCCGUG